UUGAACGCUGGCGGCGUGGCUAAAGCAUGCAAGUCGAACGUUCCCGCAAGGGAAAGUGGCGGACGGGUGAGUAACACGAUUGAACGUACCCCGAGGUGGGGGAUAGCCGUGGGAAACUGCGGGUAAUACCCCAUGUGCUCUAUGGAGCAAAGGUUUACCGCCUUGGGAUCGGCGAUCGUCCUAUCAGGUAGUUGGUAGGGUAACGGCCUACCAAGCCUAAGACGGGUACCGGGUGUGAGAGCACGACCCGGCACAUCGGGACUGAGACACUGCCCGGACUCCUACGGGAGGCUGCAGCGACGAAUCUUCCGCAAUGGGCGCAAGCCUGACGGAGCGACGCCACGUGUGGGAUGAAGCGCCUACGGCGUGUAAACCACUGUCAGGGGGCGGAAUCAAUGAUUGCCCCCAGAGGAAGGGUCGGCUAACCCUGU
rnacentral:rRNA from 1 species